AAGUCGUAACAAGGUUUCCGUAGGUGAACCUGCGGAAGGAUCAUUAAUGAAAUGAUGUUUUUUGGGGUUUUUAAAUCUCAAAAAAUAAUUCACCAUUUGUGCACUGUUAUUAGAUAUACUUUGGUUAGAGCUUUGGUUCCAAAAACAUUUGGAAUCAACUUCUUGCUAACUCUAUCCUAUUGAAUGGGACAGUUGGCUAUGAAGCGGCCUACCAAGGUUUUUUAUCAAACACUUGUAUUUUUGUCUGACCUAAAAACAAAUAAUUAAAUCAUAACUUUCAACAACGGAUCUCUUGGCUCUC
rnacentral:misc_RNA from 1 species